GCAACCUAGAUACUGUACGGAGACGAGAGAUACGGGCCGGACUGGUGGGACGGGGGAUAUCGAGUAACACGGCUGCUAACGUGGCGCAGGCAGCAAACACAGGAGGAGGCCAGUCGUGAUGCAGAUGGAGUGGUGUAAUCAAUUUGGCUCAAGCGUCGCCUUCCACAAGACAGAAGAGGAGGAAGAGGGGGAAAGCAAUGUAUGUUUUGGGGAGAAGCGAGGCAGAAGAUUGAACAGAGCAAACUACACUUCCUGGCAUAUAGUUUGUUUACUUUUGAUUCCCAUUUCUCAAGCGAGCAAGCUUUUGAAGACAGAUGCUUCCCCCUCCUGGCAGCUCCCAAGAAAGCCAAAAAGUCCCCGGUUUCGCCUCACUGCCACCUUUUCACUACAUUUGCACUGCAGGCGACCUGUGUGCAUGUGCGGAACAUAUAUUUAUUUACACUCCAAUACACCUUGAAACCUGGGAAGUGUGUGUACUCGCCAUUGGAUAAAAAAGUAGUUAAUAAUAUUUUUGGGACGCAGGAUGAUAGUUCUUGCUGUCAUUUAAACUUCAAUAUAGCAUGAAAAACAAAAACAAAGGUCAAUCUAGGAAAUAAUAUCAGAUCAAAGAUUAUUCCUGUCAUGCCUUCCUACGGUGUUAAUACUGAGCAGUAACAACAAUGCUGAUUAACUGCUAAACUUAAAGGUGCAAGUCACAACAAGAAUACAGCUAGUUAUAAAAUACAUGCAUAAGAACCAUUUUAUUAUUUAUCAAUGCAGUUUUUACAAACUGGUCAUUAUGGCCUAACUAAAAAGCAAAUUGUCUUUGGCCACAAGAACCUGGAACUAAAAGGUUAACAAUAGCUUGAGCGUAUUUUGACUGCAAAUGUUACU